rnacentral:rRNA from 1 species
UAACACAUGCAAGUACGAGCGGUAGCACAAAGAAGCUUGCUUCUUGGGUGACGAGCGGCGGACGGGUGAGUAACGCGUAGGAAUCUACCUAAUGGUGGGGGAUAGCCCAGGGAAACUUGGAUUAAUACCGCAUAAGUCCUAAGGGAGAAAGCGGGGGAUCUUCGGACCUCGUGCCAUUAGAUGAGCCUGCGUAAGAUUAUGCUAGUUGGUGAGGUAAGAGCUCACCAAGGCGACGAUCUUUAGCUGGUCUGAGAGGAUGAUCAGCCACACUGGGACUGAGACACGGCCCAGACUCCUACGGGAGGCAGCAGUGGGGAAUAUUGGACAAUGGGGGCAACCCUGAUCCAGCCAUGCCGCGUGUGUGAAGAAGGCCUUCGGGUUGUAAAGCACUUUCAGAUGUGAGGAAAGGUUACAGAUUAAUACUCUGUAGCUGUGACGUUAACAUCAGAAGAAGGACCGGCUAACUCCGUGCCAGCAGCCGCGGUAAUACGGAGGGUCCGAGCGUUAAUCGGAAUUACUGGGCGUAAAGCGCGCGUA